UACGUAGGGACCGAGCGUUGUCCGGAAUUAUUGGGCGUAAAGAGCGUGUAGGCGGUCCGGUAAGUCAGCUGUGAAAGUCAAGGGCUCAACCCUUGAAAGCCGGUUGAUACUGUCGGGCUAGAGUCCGGAAGAGGCGAGUGGAAUUCCCGGUGUAGCGGUGAAAUGCGCAGAUAUCGGGAGGAACACCAAUGGCGAAGGCAGCUCGCUGGGACGGUACUGACGCUGAGACGCGAAAGCGUGGGGAGCAAACAGG
rnacentral:rRNA from 1 species